UCUGCUCACAUGUCAGAUGAAAACAAAUGUAUUAUCGGUUUGACUCUCUGGCUUAGGUUGAGCGAUGGCAGUCACUAUCUGUUUGCCGCCUCAUCUCAAGAAGAACAGAAAAAGUGGCUGAAGGAACUUCAACAAAUCCAACAGUGUCUUCAGACAGUCCUGGAAUUAACACAAAAGCAAGUAGAGAAAGCACAGAGCAGUGUGAGUCUGUGCCAGGCGACACAUCUGACACACAAGAUUCCACCACAAAGUCCAACCAGGAAAAGGAAGACUCCACAGAGAGCUGUGAGACCGAGAGAGAGCCACCACCUAAACCUCCCCACACUUAUUACAACAAACACCGCUACCCUGACGGAGGAGAGAGCCAAGACUCAGAUGGUCAAUGGUUUCUCUGAAACAGAAUAAAAAAUAAAAAAUAAAUUUAAUCUCUUCAGUGAGUGUGACCCAAAAUGUAAGAAGUCUACAGAGGAACCAGCCUCCCUCGUAUGCCCCACCACCUCCACCACAAAACCAGGUUGAGAAUGGAGCCAAGGACAAAUCCAAAAACAGGAGUGUCUUUAUGAAAUUAAAAAAAAAAUAACUUUUUCAUAACAGAUUUGAC
rnacentral:lncRNA from 1 species